UAUUCCCAGGUGGCAUGGGUGAUGCUGGCUGUUCCUUUCGAGCUUGGAUUUAACUUACAGGCUGAAACGCAGUGUGCAGUACAGGACAUCAAGACCCGAGCUAUCUCUGGAGUGACUCUGAGGUGCUCUAGGUGGCUUCAGA